UACGGGGGGAGCAAGCGUUGUUCGGAUUUACUGGGCGUAAAGGGCGCGUAGGCGGCCACUGCAAGUCGGUUGUGAAAUCUCCGGGCUUAACCCGGAAAGGUCAGCCGAUACUGCAGGGCUAGAGUGCAGAAGGGGCAACUGGAAUUCUCGGUGUAGCGGUGAAAUGCGUAGAUAUCUGGAGGAACACCGGUGGCGAAGGCGGCAUCCUGGACCGACACUGACACUGAGGAGCGAAAGCCAGGGGAGCAAACGGG
rnacentral:rRNA from 1 species